GGUUAAGCGACUAAGCGUACACGGUGGAUGCCCUGGCAGUCAGAGGCGAUGAAGGACGUGCUAAUCUGCGAAAAGCGUCGGUAAGGUGAUAUGAACCGUUACAGCCGGCGAUGUCCGAAUGGGGAAACCCAGUGCAAUUCGUUGCACUAUCGUUAACUGAAUACAUAGGUUAACGAGGCGAACCGGGGGAACUGAAACAUCUAAGUACCCCGAGGAAAAGAAAUCAACCGAGAUUCCCCCAGUAGCGGCGAGCGAACGGGGAGCAGCCCAGAGUCUGAAUCAGCUUGUGUGUUAGUGGAACGGUCUGGAAAGUCCGACGGUACAGGGUGAUAGUCCCGUACACCAAAAUGCACAGGCUGUGAACUCGAAGAGUAGGGCGGGACACGUGGUAUCCUGUCUGAAUAUGGGGGGACCAUCCUCCAAGGCUAAAUACUCCUGACUGACCGAUAGUGAACCAGUACCGUGAGG
rnacentral:rRNA from 1 species